UCCGGUUUGUCACCGGCAGUCUCAUUAGAGUGCCCAACCAAAUGUAGCAACUAAUGACAAGGGUUGCGCUCGUUGCGGGACUUAACCCAACAUCUCACGGCACGAGCUGACGACAGCCAUGCAGCACCUGUGUUAGCGUUCCCUUUCGGGCACCCUCGCAUCUCUGCGAGGUUCGCUACAAGUCAAGGGUAGGUAAGGUGGGGAUGACGUUCG
rnacentral:misc_RNA from 1 species